rnacentral:rRNA from 1 species
AUUGAACGCUGGCGGCAUGCCUUACACAUGCAAGUCGAACGGUAACGCGGGGCAACCUGGCGACGAGUGGCGAACGGGUGAGUAAUGCAUCGGAACGUGCCCGAUAGUGGGGGAUAGCCCGGCGAAAGCCGGAUUAAUACCGCAUACGACCUGAGGGUGAAAGCGGGGGACCGUAAGGCCUCGCGCUAUUGGAGCGGCCGAUGUCAGAUUAGGUAGUUGGUGGGGUAAAGGCCUACCAAGCCUGCGAUCUGGAGCGGGUCUGAGAGGACGACCAGCCACACUGGGACAGAGACACGGCCCAGACUCCUACGGGAGGCAGCAGGGGGGAAUUUUGGACAAUGGGCGCAAGCCUGAUCCAGCCAUGCCGCGUGCGGGAAGAAGGCCUUCGGGUUGUAAACCGCUUUUGUCAGGGAAGAAACGCUCUGGGUUAAUACCCUGGGGUAAUGACGGUACCUGAAGAAUAAGCACCGGCUAACUACGUGCCAGCCGCCGCUGUAA